GACGAACGCUGGCGGCGUGCUUAACACAUGCAAGUCGAACGGAAAGGCCCCUUUGGGGGUACUCGAGUGGCGAACGGGUGAGUAACACGUGAGUAACCUGCCCUUGACUUCGGGAUAACUUCAGGAAACUGGGGCUAAUACCGGAUAGGAAUCCUUGCUGCAUGGUGGGGGUUGGAAAGCUUCGGCGGUUUUGGAUGGACUCGCGGCUUAUCAGCUUGUUGGUGGGGUAGUGGCUUACCAAGGCUUUGACGGGUAGCCGGCCUGAGAGGGCGACCGGCCACAUUGGGACUGAGAUACGGCCCAGACUCCUACGGGAGGCAGCAGUGGGGAAUAUUGCACAAUGGGCGGAAGCCUGAUGCAGCAACGCCGCGUGCGGGAUGACGGCCUUCGGGUUGUAAACCGCUUUCAGCAGGGGUGAAGCUUUUGUGACGGUACCUGCAGAAGAAGCACCGGCUAACUACGUG
rnacentral:rRNA from 1 species